rnacentral:lncRNA from 1 species
AUGGCUCUGCUGGAGCGGAUCCUGAAAGCCCGUCGGAGCCCGGCGGCCGCGCGGGGCGGGCUUCUGGGCGGCUGGGACGCUGGGCAGCCCCGGCUGGCCGGCUCCGGGCUCCCGGCGCGGGCGCGCGCCGAGGACAAAGGAGCGGGGCGGCCAGGGCCGUCGCAGGCCGGGGGCCGGGCAGAGGGGCCCCGGAGCCUCGCCGCCAUGCCGGGGCCCCGGACGCUCGCCAACCUGGUGGAGUUCUUCGGGAAGGACGGCUUCAGCCGCAUCCACGAGAUCCAGCAGAAGCACACACGGGAAUAUGGAAAAAUCUUCAAGUCUCACUUUGGUCCUCAGUUUGUAGUAUCUGUUGCAGACCGAGAGCUGGUGGCUCAGGUGCUCCGCGCGGAGGGGGCUUCGCCCCAGAGAGCCAACAUGGGGUCCUGGCAGGAGUACCGAGACCUGCGGGGCAGAUCCACUGGCCUUAUCUCUGCGGAGGGUGAACAGUGGCUCAAGAUGAGAAGUGUGUUGAGACAAAGAAUUCUGAAACCGAAAGAUGUGGCCAUUUUUGCAGGAGAAAUCAACCAAGUUAUUGCUGAUUUAAUUGAAAGAAUCUACUUCCUCAAGAGCCAGGCGGAAGAUGGAGAUACAGUGACCAACAUCAAUGACCUUUUCUUCAAAUACUCAAUGGAAGGAGUGGCCACCAUUCUUUAUGAGAGUCGCCUGGGCUGCCUGGGGAACAGCAUCCCGCAGUUGACCGCGGACUACAUCGAGGCCCUGGCGCUCAUGUUCUGCACGUUCAAGACCUCCAUGUAUGCCGGCGCCAUCCCUAGGUGGCUCCGCCUGCUCAUCCCCAAACCCUGGCAGGAAUUCUGCAGGUCCUGGGAUGGACUCUUCAAAUUCAGCGAAAUUCAUGUUGACAACAAGCUGAGCGACAUACGGUGCCAGAUGGAAAGAGGGGAGAGAGUGAGAGGAGGGCUGCUCACCUACCUCUUCCUCAGCCAGGAACUGACCCUGGAGGAAAUCUAUGCCAACAUGACUGAGAUGCUGCUGGCCGGGGUAGACACGACAUCAUUCACCUUGUCCUGGGCAGUAUAUCUCCUCGCAAGGCACCCAGAAGUGCAGCAGGCCCUGUACCGGGAGAUCGUGAGGAAUCUGGGGGAAAGGCACGUCCCCACGGCCGCAGACGUCCCCAAAGUCCCGCUGGUCCGAGCUCUGCUUAAGGAAACCUUGAGGCUGUUUCCAGUGCUGCCAGGGAACGGCCGGGUCACCCAAGAGGACCUGAUUGUUGGCGGGUAUCUGAUUCCCAGAGGCACCCAGCUGGCCCUCUGCCACUAUGCCACAUCCUAUGAGGACGCAAACUUCCCUCGGGCCAAGGAGUUCCGGCCUGAGCGCUGGCUGCGGCAAGGAAGCCUGCGCAGGGUUGACAACUUCGGGUCCAUCCCCUUCGGCUAUGGGGCUCGAAGCUGCAUCGGGCGGAGGAUUGCAGAGCUAGAGAUCCACCUGCUCGUGAUCCAGCUGCUUCAACAUUUUGAGAUCAAAACGUCUCCUUGGACUAAAACUGUUCAUGCAAAAACCCAUGGGCUGCUGAUGCCAGGGGAGCCCAUCCACGUGCGUUUUGUUAACCGAAAAUGAGCCUGGUGUUUUUCACCCCGCCACCAGACCGACACACCGCAGGUGUCUGUGCGCCAUGGAUGACGGCAGGGGAAGAAAGAAUCCCUUCUCGGGCCAUCUUGGUAGUAGACUGGCCUCCUCAGUCCUGGGAAACUUUGAAAUCUUUUUGCAAAGUAAUGUGAGAAGGUUACUUUUGCAUUCCAGAGUCGCCUUUUGUUUUAUUUUGUUUUUUGAGUAACGGCUGUUGAGAAGCCAGUGGCACUGAAUUCUCAGGCCUCGUAUGGUGUCUUGCCCUUGGACCUACCCAUAAUCUGCUCUGCAUUUGGGCCAGGAAGUGUUGGUAUACUUACAGAGUCAGUGCUUGGACGUACCGUCUCUGAUACUGCAUCAGGACUGCAUCUUAGAACAGAAUUCCAACUUCUUAUCUUGAAGAGGAAACAUUAGAGGCUUCUGUAGAACAGACCUGUGGUUACCAAGGAGGGUGGGUGAGGGAGAGAAAGGUUGGGAAUGUAGAAUUAGCUGUAUAGUACAGGAAGCUGUAUUCAGUAUCCUGGGAUAAGCCAUAAUGUAAAGGAAUAUGAAAAGGGAUGUACAUAUAUGUAUAACUGAAUCACUUGGCUGUACAGUGGAACUUAACAUUGUAAAUCGACUAUAAUAAAAUAAAUUUUAAAAAAGACUGCUUCUGUAAU